rnacentral:rRNA from 1 species
AUUGAACGCUGGCGGUAUGCUUAACACAUGCAAGUCGAACGGUAACAGGCCUUCGGGCGCUGACGAGUGGCGGACGGGUGCGUAACGCGUAGGAAUCUGCCUGUUAGUGGGGGACAACGUGGGGAAACUCACGCUAAUACCGCAUACGCCCUACGGGGGAAAGCGGGGGACCUUCGGGCCUCGCGCUAACAGAUGAGCCUGCGUUGGAUUAGCUAGUUGGUAGGGUAAAGGCCGACCAAGGAGACGAUCCAUAGCUGGUCUGAGAGGACGAUUAGCCACACGGGGACUGUGACACGGCCCAGACUCCUGCGGGAGGCAGCAGGGGGGAAUAUUGGACAAUGGGCGCAAGCCUGAUCCAGCAAUACCGCGUGUGUUAAGAAGGCCUGAGGGUUGUAAAGCACUUUCAAUAGGGAGGAAUAGCUAUCGGCCAAUACCCGGUAGUCUGACAUUACCUAUACAAGAAGCACCGGCUAACUCCGUGCCAGCCGCCGCGGUAAAAC